UCCCUGGUAACUCAGAUGGUAAAGAAUCUGCCUGCAAUGCAGGAGACCCAGGUUCAAUCCCUGGGUUGGGAA
rnacentral:tRNA from 1 species